AAGUCGUAACAAGGUUUCCGUAGGUGAACCUGCGGAAGGAUCAUUAAUGAAUAUUAGGGAAUUGAUGCUGGCAUUAUGUUGCAUGUGCUCAUUCCCUCUAAUCCAUUUUUUACACACCUGUGCACUUGUUUCAGAGCUGCUUUUCUAGGGAGAGAGUAAUCUCUCUCUCUGUGUUAAAGCUCUCUGCUAAUCAAUAUACACUCUUAUAUUUUACAAUGAAUGUUAAUCAAGUCGAAAGACUUUUAAAUUUAUGAAUACAA
rnacentral:misc_RNA from 1 species